rnacentral:rRNA from 1 species
UACGUAGGGGGCGAGCGUUGUCCGGAUUCAUUGGGCGUAAAGCGCGCGUAGGCGGCUCCGCAAGUCGGCCGUGAAAUCUCCGGGCUCAACUCGGAGGGGUCGGGCGAGACUGCGAGGCUCGAGGUGGGCAGAGGGCAGUGGAAUUCCGGGUGUAGUGGUGGAAUGCGUAGAGAUCCGGAGGAACACCAGUGGCGAAGGCGGCUGCCUGGGCCUGGCCUGACGCUGAGGCGCGAGAGCGUGGGGAGCAAUCCGG